rnacentral:rRNA from 1 species
AUUGAACGCUGGCGGCAGGCCUAACACAUGCAAGUCGAACGAGUGGCAGACGGGUGAGUAAUGUCUGGGAAACUGCCUGAUGGAGGGGGAUAACGACUGGAAACGGUAGCUAAUACCGCAUACCAUCAGAUGUGCCCAGCUGGGAUUAGCUAGUAGGUGGGGUAACGGCUCACCUAGGCGACGGUCCCUAGCUGGUCUGGGAGGAUGACCAGCAACACUGGAACUGAGACACGGCCCAGACUCCUACGGGAGGCAGCAGUGGGGAAUAUUGCGCAAUGGGGGAAACCCUGACGCAGCAAUGCCGCGUGAAUGAAGAAGGCCUUCGGGUUGUAAAGUUCUUUCGGUGACGAGGCGUUAAUCACAGAAGAAGCACCGGCUAACUCCGUGCCAGCAGCCGCGGUAAUAC